CUGGGGCUGAGACAGGAAGCUGCC
rnacentral:piRNA from 1 species